rfam:Hammondia hammondi strain H.H.34 contig01410, whole genome shotgun sequence.
AUAUCGUUGAGUUUGGUGAUGGCUCUGAUUGAACGCUGUCCAAGUGCUUGACACAUGCUAAUCGAACGUUUUAAUUAAAAUUGUAUGCGCAAGCUAUAAUACAAAUUCAAUUAAAAAGUGGUGUACAGGUGAGUAUAAUUAUAUUUAGAACGCUGGCCUUAGAGUAAAGGUAAAUCCUUUAUAUAAAAAAGGAAUAAAGAUAUUCCGCUUUAAGAAGACGAUAAAUAUAUUCGAGAUAGGUAGUAGUUAAGGUUAUGGCUUAACUAGCUUAUAACUCUCGUAGUCGAAUCUGAAAGGUUGAUCGACCACAUUGGGUCUGAAAAAAGCCCAAUGCAAGUUAGUACAGCAGUGAGGAAUAUUGGUCAAUGGCCUAACGGCUGAACUGGUAACUUGGAGAAGUGUUAAGUCUUAUUGAGUUAUUAUCAUAGAAUAAUAUCUCUAAGAUUAAAUUAAAAUUGAAUGAAACUUUGUUUAUAUAUUGAUAAUGACGAUAUAUAUAUUGUGUCUUGACCAAUUACGUGCCAGCAGUCGCGGUAAUACGUAAGAGACUAGCGUUAUUCAUCUUAAUUAGGUUUAAAGGGUACUCAAACGGUCAACAUAACAUCAAAAAUGUUAGUACUUGACUAGAGUUAUAUAUAAGAAGGCAGUACUUUAGGUGGAGAGAUUAUAUUCAAUGAUACCAUGGGGACUCGGUAAAGGCGCAGGCAGCCUUUUAUGUAAUAACUGACGUUGAAGGACGAAGGCUUGGAUCACGAACAGGAUUAGAAACCCCAGUAGUCUUUGCAGUAAAUGAUGAAUGCCAUAGGUUAGAAAAAAUUCUGGUCUAUAAAUGAAAAUGUAAGCAUUUCACCUCAAGAGUAAUGUGGCAACGCAGGAACUGAAAUCACUAGGCCGUUUCUGACACCAGUAGUGAAGUAUGUUGUUUAAUUCGAUAAUCCACGAAAAACCUUACCACAAUUUGUAUAAUAAUUACAGGAGUUGCACGGCUGUUUACAGUUAAUGUUGUGAAACUAUGGUUUUUUACCAUGAAUUAACGUAAUCCCUUGCUUUAUUUUAUUAUUAUUAACUAUAAAGCAUUUAAUCUGAGAAUUUGGAAAAAGAAAAGGGACUAAGACAAGUCAUCAUGGCCUUAAUAUUGUGGGCUAUAGACGUGCCACAUAUGCCUAAACAAAGAGAUGCGAAAAUGUGAAUUCUAGCUAAUCUCAUAAAAUAGGAUAUAAAUUUUAAGGAUUGUAGUCUGAAAUUCGACUAUAUGAAUAUGUAAUUACUAGUAAUCGUGAAUCACCAUGUCACGGUGAAUAAAUCUCGGAUUGGUACUAAUCACUCGUCGCAUGCUGAAAGGAGUAUAUGCAAUAAGUUUGCUUUUUUAAUGAUUAGUAAAAAAAUAAGCAGAUUUUUUCUAUUAUUAAAAAUCUUCGUAUGUGUAGCUCUAAUUAGUGUUAAGUCGAACUAAGGUUCGCGUAGCGGAAGUUGCGCGGGAAUAAUAAACUUU